rnacentral:rRNA from 1 species
UACGGAGGGUGCGAGCGUUGUCCGGAAUCACUGGGCGUAAAGGGCGCGUAGGUGGCCUGUGGAAGUCUGCGGUGAAAGCCCGGCGCUCAACGCCGGGUCGGCCGUGGAUACUCUCGGGCUCGAGCUUACUAGAGGCAGAUGGAAUUCCGGGUGUAGCGGUGGAAUGCGUAGAGAUCCGGAAGAACACCGGUGGCGAAGGCGGUCUGCUGGGGUAAU